GACGAACGCUGGCGGCGUGCUUAACACAUGCAAGUCGAACGAAGUGGCGAACGGGUGAGUAACGCGUAAUCAACCUGCCCUUCAGAGGGGGACAACAGUUGGAAACGACUGCUACUACCGCAUACUGAAGGAGGGGAUUGCGUCGGAUUGGCUGGUUGGCGGGGUAACGGCCCACCAAGGCGAUGAUCAGUAGCCGGUCUGGGAGGAUGAACGGCCACAAUUGGACUGGGACACGGCCCAGGAUCCUACGGGAGGGAGCAAUGGGGAAUCUUCCGCAAUGGGCGGAAGUCUGGCGGAGCAACGCCGCGUGAGUGAUGACGGCCUUCGGGUUGUAAAACUCUGUUAAUCGGGACGCGGUACCGGAAUAGAAAGCCACGGCUAACUUCGUGCCAGCAGCCGCGGUAAUUC
rnacentral:rRNA from 1 species